CAGCAGCCGCGGUAAUACGUAGGUCCCGAGCGUUGUCCGGAUUUAUUGGGCGUAAAGCGAGCGCAGGCGGUUAGAUAAGUCUGAAGUUAAAGGCUGUGGCUUAACCAUAGUACGCUUUGGAAACUGUUUAACUUGAGUGCAAGAGGGGAGAGCGGAAUUCCAUGUGUAGCUGUGAAGUGCGUAGAUAUAUGGAGGAACACCGGUGGCGGAAGCGGCUCUCUGGCUUGUAACUGACGCUGAGGCUCGAAAGCGUGGGGAGCGAACGGGAUUAGAUACCCCCGUAGUCCCUGUCUCUUAUACC
rnacentral:rRNA from 1 species